rnacentral:rRNA from 1 species
AUUGAACGCUGGCGGCAGGCCUAAGACAUGCAAGUCGAGCGAGAAAGCCCUUCGGGGUGAGUACAGCGGCGGACGGGUGAGUAACGCGUAGGAAUCUACCCAGUAGUGGGGGACAACUAGUGGAAACGCUAGCUAAUACCGCAUACGCCCUACGGGGGAAAGCGGGGGAUCUUCGGACCUCGUGCUAUUGGAUGAGCCUGCGUAAGAUUAGCUUGUUGGUGAGGUAAUGGCUCACCAAGGCGACGAUCUUUAGCUGGUCUGAGAGGAUGAUCAGCCACACCGGGACUGAGACACGGCCCGGACUCCUACGGGAGGCAGCAGUCGGGAAUAUUGCGCAAUGGGGGAAACCCUGACGCAGCCAUGCCGCGUGUGUGAAGAAGGCCCUAGGGUUGUAAAGCACUUUCAAUUGGGAGGAAAAGCUAAUGGUUAAUAACCAUUAGCCCUGACGUUACCUUUAGAAGAAGCACCGGCUAACUCCGUGCCAGCCGCCGCCGUAACAC